rnacentral:snRNA from 1 species
AUCACUUCUCGGCCUUUUGGCUAAGAUCAAGUAUAGUGUAGUAAACAAAUAUUCUCUUAGAAGUAGACUUGUAUCUAAAGGGAGAUCUCUUGUGCAGUUCACCUGAGCUCACUAGUUCUGAUAUAUUUACAGCUAAACAUUUU